rnacentral:rRNA from 1 species
GACGAACCGUGCGAACGUUAUUCGGAAUCACUGGGCUUAAAGCGCGUGUAGGCGGGACGGCACGUCGGUCGCUGAAAUCCCCCGGCUUAACCGAGGAACGGGCGUCGAUACGACCGUCCUGGAGGGGCGUAGGGGGACCUGGAACUUCCGGUGGAGCGGUGAAAUGCGUUGAGAUCGGAAAGAACACCAACGGCGAAAGCACUCUGCUGGGCCGACACUGACACUGAGAGACGAAAGCUAGGGGGGCGAAUGGG